AUUGAACGCUGGCGGCAGGCCUAACACAUGCAAGUCGAGCGGAUGAAGGGAGCUUGCUCCUGGAUUCAGCGGCGGACGGGUGAGUAAUGCCUAGGAAUCUGCCUGGUAGUGGGGGAUAACGUCCGGAAACGGGCGCUAAUACCGCAUACGUCCUGAGGGAGAAAGUGGGGGAUCUUCGGACCUCACGCUAUCAGAUGAGCCUAGGUCGGAUUAGCUAGUUGGUGGGGUAAAGGCCUACCAAGGCGACGAUCCGUAACUGGUCUGAGGGGAUGAUCAGUCACAUGGAAACAGAGAAACGGCCAAGACGCCACGGGGGGGAGGGGGGGGGAAUUAUGGAACAAGGGGGGAAGGUUGGACCCAGCAUGGCGGGGGGGGGAAAGAAGUUUUUCGUAUUGUAAAGCAUUUUAGGUGGGGGGGAAGGGCAGAAAGUAAAAACUUUGCUUUUUGGACGUAACCAACAGAAAAAGCACCGGCAAACUUGGG
rnacentral:rRNA from 1 species